AUUGAACGCUGGCGGCAGGCCUAACACAUGCAAGUCGAGCGGAUGAAGGGAGCUUGCUCCUGGAUUCAGCGGCGGACGGGUGAGUAAUGCCUAGGAAUCUGCCUGGCAGUGGGGGAUAACGUCCGGAAACGGGCGCUACUACCGCAUACGUUCUGAGUGCGAAAGUGGGGGAUCUUCGGACCUCACGCUAUCAGAUGAGCCUAGGUCGGAUUAGCUAGUUGGUGGGGUAAAGGCCUACCAAGGCGACGAUCCGUAACUGGACUGCGAGGAUGAUCAGUCACACUAGAACUGAGACACGGUCCAUACUCCUACGGGAGGCAGCAAUGGGGAAUGUUGGGCAAUGGGCGAAAGCCUGAUCCAGCCAGGCCGCGUGUGUGAAGAAGGUCUUCGGAUUGUAAAGCACUUUUAGUUGGGAGGAAGGGCAGUAAGUUAAUACCUUGCUUUUUUGACGGUACCAACAGAAUAAGCACCGGCUAACUUCGUG
rnacentral:rRNA from 1 species